AGCUGGUUAAAGGUUAAUAUGCCACCUGAUUAAUGCAGUUCUUUGUCUUAAAUAAACUUUGAAACUCCUUCCAAUUAAAUAAUUAUUAAUUCCUAACUAAGUACUCUGUACACAAACUGUUAAGUAGUUAACUAUAAAAUGUAUGACUGAUAGAUGAUAAUAUGGAUUGAAAUUAAAAUCACAUCAGACCUUAUAACCUUUACAGCAUAUGU